UACAUACUACCUCCAUCCGGAAUUACUUGUUGCAGAAAUGGAUGUAUUUUAGACGUAUUUUUAGUUCUAGAUACAUCCCUUUCUGUGACAAGUAAUUCGGGAUGGAGGGAGUAUGUU
rnacentral:pre_miRNA from 1 species